rnacentral:rRNA from 1 species
AUUGAACGCUGGCGGCAGGCCUAACACAUGCAAGUCAAGCGGAUGAAGGGAGCUUGCUCCUGGAUUCAGCGGCGGACGGGUGAGUAAUGCCUAGGAAUCUGCCUGGUAGUGGGGGAUAACGUCCGGAAACGGGCGCUAAUACCGCAUACGUCCUGAGGGAGAAAGUGGGGGAUCUUCGGACCUCACGCUAUCAGAUGAGCCUAGGUCGGAUUAGCUAGUUGGUGGGGUAAAGGCCUACCAAGGCGACGAUCCGUAACUGGUCUGAGAGGAUGAUCAGUCACACUGGAACUGAGACACGGUCCAGACUCCUACGGGAGGGAGCAGUGGGGAAUAGUGGACAAUGGGCGAAAGCAUGAUACAGCCAUGCCGCGUGUGUGAAGAAGGUCUUCGGAUUGUAAAGCACUUUAAGUUGGGAGGAAGGGCAGUAAGUUAAUACCUUGCUGUUUUGACGUUACCAACAGAAAAAGCACCGGCUAACUUCGUG